rnacentral:rRNA from 1 species
GGUUUGAUUAUCUUCGGCUCAGAUUGAACGCUGGCAGGAUGCUUUACACAUGCAAGUCGAACAGCACGGACUUCGGUCUGGUGGCGAGUGGCGAACGGGUGAGUAAUGUAUCGGAACGUGCCUAGUAGCGGGGGAUAACUACGCGAAAAUGUCCAGCCAAUACCGCAUACGCCCUUCGGGGGAAAGCGGGGGACCCUUCCGGGCCUCACGCGCCAAUGAAGCGGCCGAUAUCGGAUUAGCUAGUUGGUGGGGUAACGGCUCACCAAGGCGACGAUCCGUAGCUGGUUUGAGAGGACGACCAGCCGCACUGGGACUGAGACACGGCCCAGACUCCUGCGGGAGGCAGCAGUGGGGAAUUUUUGGACAAUGGGGAAACCCUGAUCCAGCCAUCCCGCGUGUGCGAUGAGCCUUCAGGUUGUAAAGCACUUUUGGCAGGAAAGAAACGGCACGGGAUAAUACCCCGUGCAAUGACCAAUACCUGCAGAAUAAGCACCGGCUAACUACGUGCCAGCAGCCGCGGUAAUACGUAGGGUGCAAGCGUUAAUCGGAAUUACUGGGCGUAAAGCGUGCGCAGGCGGUUCGGAAAGAAGAUGUGAAAUCCCAGAGCUUGCUUUGGAACUGCAUUUUUAACUACCGAGCUAGAGUGUGUCAGAGGGAGGUGGAAUUCCGCGUGUAGCAGUGAAAUGCGUAGAUAUGCGGAGGAACACCGAUGGCGAAGGCAGCCUCCUGGGAUAACACUGACGCUCAUGCACGAAAGCAUAGAACAUAGAACAGGAUUAGAUACCCUGGUAGUCCACGCCUAAACGAUGUCAAUAGCUGUUGGGCCUUCCGGGCCUUGGUAGCGCAACUAACGCGUGAAGUUGACCGCCUGGGGAGUACGGUCGCAAGAUUAAAACUCAAAGGAAUUGACAGGGACCCGCACAAGCGGUGGAUGAUGUGGAUUAAUUCGAUGCAACGCGAAAACCUUACCUACCCUUGACAUGUCUGGAAUCCCGAAGAGAUUUGGGAGUGCUCGCAAAAGAGAACCGGAACACAGGUGCUGCAUGGCUGUCGUCAGCUCGUGUCGUGAGAUGUUGGGUUAAGUCCCACCAACGAGCGCAACCCUUGUCAUUAGUUGCUACGAAAGGGCACUCUAAUGAGACUGCCGGUGACAAACCGGAGGAAGGUGGGGAUGACGUCAAGUCCUCAUGGCCCUUAUGGGUAGGGCUUCACACGUCAUACAAUGGUCGGGACAGAGGGUCGCCAACCCGCGAGGAGCCAAUCCCAGAAACCCGAUCGUAGUCAGGAUCGCGGUCUGCAACUCGACUGCGUGAAGUCGGAAUCGCUAACGUCGCGGAUCGGCAUGUCGCGGUAGAUACGUUCCCGGGUCUUGUACACACCGCCCGUCACACCAUGGGGGUGGGUUUGCAAGUAGUUAGCCUAACCGUAAGGAGGCGAUUACCACGGUAGGAUUCAUGACUGGGGUGAAGUCGUAACAAAAUUUGG